GAAGCGGCAACAGCUCAAAUUUGAAAUCUGGCCUUCUGGUCCGAAUUGUAAUUUGUAGAGGAUGCUUUUGGUUAGGUACCUUUCGAGUUCCUUGGAACAGGACGCCUUAGAGGGUGAGAGCCCCGUACGAUUGGAUACCGAGCCUCUGUAAAGCUCCUUCGACGAGUCGAGUAGUUUGGGAAUGCUGCUCUAAAUGGGAGGUAAAUUUCUUCUAAAGCUAAAUACCGGCCAGAGACCGAUAGCGCACAAGUAGAGUGAUCGAAAGAUGAAAAGCACUUUGAAAAGAGGGUUAAAUAGUACGUGAAAUUGUUGAAAGGGAAGGGCUUAUGACCAGACCUUUGCCUUGCGGAUCAUCCGGUGUUCUCACCGGUGCACUUCGCUUGGUUUAGGCCAGCAUCGAUUUUGGUAGGGGGAUAAAGACUUUGGUAACGUAGCUCCUCCGGGAGUGUUAUAGACCUUUGUGUAAUACCUUUACUGGGAUCGAGGACCGCGCUUCGGCUAGGAUGCUGGCAUAAUGGUCAUCAGCCACCCGUCUUGAAACACGGACCAAGGAGUCGAACAUUUAUGCGAGUGUUUGGGUGUUAAACCCUCACGCGUAAUGAAAGUGAACGGAGGUGAGAGCCCUUUAGGGUGCAUCAUCGACCGAUCCUGAUGUCUUCGGAUGGAUUUGAGUAAGAGCAUAACUGUUCGGACCCGAAAGAUGGUGAACUAUGCGUGGAUAGGGUGAAGCCAGAGGAAACUCUGGUGGAGGCUCGCAGCGGUUCUGACGUGCAAAUCGAUCGUCAAAUCUGCGCAUGGGGGCG
rnacentral:rRNA from 1 species